AUUGAACGCUGGCGGCGUGCCUAACACAUGCAAGUCGAACGGGCUCAUUUUGAAGUAGCAAUACAGAGAGAUGAGUUAGUGGCGGACGGGUGAGUAACACGUAGGUAACCUGCCCUUAAGCGGGGGACAACUCAGGGAAACUUGAGCUAAUACCGCAUAAGACCACGGGCUGAGAUGCCAGUGGGAAAAGUCCCGAUGCAAAUCGGGACACUUAAGGAUGGGCCUGCGGCCUAUCAGGUAGUUGGUGAGGUAACGGCCCACCAAGCCAGAGACGGGUAGCCGGACUGAGAGGUUGAACGGCCACACUGGAACUGAGAUACGGUCCAGACUCCUACGGGAGGCAGCAGUGGGGAAUAUUGCACAAUGGGGGAAACCCUGAUGCAGCGACGCCGCGUGGAGGAUGAAGGCCUUCGGGUUGUAAACUCCUU
rnacentral:rRNA from 1 species